AGCCAUCGUGUAGAGCACAAAAGAAAAAGAAGUAUAAGAAGCAAAAAGCCAAAACGUUUUGCUUUUCGCGCCGCCGUACCGCACCUCUCCGCCGCCUGCCGCUUCGUUGCCCGCUCCCUUCAGGAUCUGCCCCGGCGUGUGCGCUGCCGUUUCGUUCGCUGAGCACGCCGCAUGCCGUCAUGAACACGGACGACCGCUACAAGCUCCUCCGCAGCGUCGGAGAGGAGUGCAUUCAAGAAAGCGAGCUGCGCAACCUUAUCGAAAAGAAGCCGCUCAUUCGCUGCUACGAUGGCUUCGAGCCCUCCGGCCGCAUGCACAUUGCCCAGGGCAUCUUCAAGGCGGUCAAUGUCAACAAGUGCACCGCCGCCGGGUGCGAGUUUGUCUUCUGGGUGGCGGACUGGUUUGCGCUCAUGAACGACAAGGUCGGCGGCGAACUGGAGAAGAUCCGCAUUGUUGGCCGGUACCUCAUUGAGGUGUGGAAGGCGGCGGGCAUGGACACGGACAAGGUUUUGUUUUUGUGGAGCAGCGAGGAGAUCACGAGCCAUGCCGACACGUACUGGCGCAUGGUGCUCGAUAUUGGCCGCCAGAAUACGAUCGCCCGCAUCAAGAAGUGCUGCACAAUCAUGGGCAAGACGGAAGGCACGCUGACGGCGGCACAGGUGCUGUACCCGCUGAUGCAGUGCUGCGACAUCUUCUUUCUCAAGGCUGACAUCUGCCAACUGGGCCUGGACCAGCGCAAGGUGAACAUGCUCGCACGCGAGUACUGCGACCUGAUUGGCCGCAAGUUGAAGCCGGUCAUUCUGUCACACCACAUGCUGGCCGGUCUGAGGCGGGGGCAGGCGAAGAUGAGCAAGAGUGACCCGGACAGUGCCAUCUUCAUGGAAGACACCGAGGAGGAUGUGGCACGUAAGAUCCGUCAGGCCUACUGUCCGCGUGUCAAGCAGUCCGCCAGCGCCAUCACAGAUGACGGGGCGCCGGUCGCCACGGACGACCGCAACCCGGUGCUGGACUACUUCCAGUGUGUCGUCUACGCCCGACCCGGCGCUGUGGCGGCUAUUGACGGCACCACGUACGCGACCUACGAGGACCUCGAGCAGGCUUUUGUGAGCGACGAGGUCAGCGAGGAUGCCCUCAAGUCGUGCCUGAUUGAUGAGGUGAACGCCCUGCUGGCGCCGGUGCGCCAGCACUUUGCGUCAAACGAGGAGGCUCACGAGCUGCUGGAGGCGGUUAAAUCGUACCGCAAAGGUGGCGCGACGCUUCCACUGGCCGAGACAGCGCUCCCUGCCGCCCCCGAAAAGCCGCACGCGUGCAUGUGGAUGCCGGCGCUGCUGAAGGUGCCGCUGGAUGUCGCGGAGGGGAUGAUCAAAGCCACUGAGGACUUCAUCGCCGCCCAUCCGGGGGGCACGGUGACAGUGGUGUUGCCUGACUGGUCGGCGGUGGCCAGUGACGAAAUCACCGGGGUGGAGAAAGACAUCUCGGCCGCCCUGCAGGUAAACUGUGCGCUUCUAAAGGCGUAUGGACUGCCGAACUCGGUGAAGAUUGUGACGGAGAACGAGGUCAUUCUCGGCAACCGCAACGACUUCUGGGUGAGUGUAAUCGGCAUUGCUCGCAAGAACCUGCUGAGCCACAUCGAGGAGCUGUACGGGGGAGAGUUACGCAACGCCGGCCAGGUCAUUGCUGCCCUCAUGCGCGUUGCCACGGCUCUGAUGCUCUCCGUCUCGCACGUCAUCUCAACCUCGCUGGAUGGGCACAUCAACGCCUUCGCCCGCGAGUACACGAAGGAGCGCAUCGAGUGCGUGCAGACGCUGGAGGGACGCAUCCCGGCGCUGCACCGCCCUGGCGCCGCCCCGGCGGUGCUCGGUGCCGACGACGUCCUAUACCUGGACGACAAUGACAUGGACAUCCGCCGUAAAAUCAAGAAAGCGUACUCGGCGCCGAACGAGGAGGCCAACCCGGUCAUAUCGGUCGCCCAGCACCUUCUCGCACAGCAUGGAGCCCUCAACAUCGAGCGCGGGGAGGCCAACGGCGGCAACGUAAGCUACAACACGCCAGAGGCUCUCGUGGCAGACUGCGGCAGCGGCGCUCUUCACCCUGCCGACCUCAAGGCGGCGGUGCUACAGCUGCUGCUGGAUCGGUCGGCGCAGGCGCGCGCGUUGCUCAACGGCGAGCUCAAGAAGAAUAUGACCGCUCUUCGUAACGCGGAGAAGAAGAUGGCAAAGAAGAGGUAAGAGGGGCUUUUGGAGUCAGGGGAAGGGGUGCGUGUGGUAUAGGUGAAGAGGCGGCCCCCUCCUCUGUGCCGAACUUCUCUCUCCACCCGCCUCGUUUCGUUUCGUUACACGCGUGUAACGGUGUGUAUAACGGGUUUGCAUGUGAGUCAAGUACUAAGCCGCCCCGAGCCAACCUCAAGUAGGAGGGGAAAAAGGGGGCCAUGCGCAAUGUCUGUCUCGCCUGCACACGCGUCUUUGUGCCUUCACCAGGCACUGACGCGUGGCGCGGCAAGGCCGCACCGGUCU
rnacentral:misc_RNA from 1 species